rnacentral:rRNA from 1 species
UAAUACGGAGGGUCCAAGCGUUAAUCGGAAUUACUGGGCGUAAAGCGCGCGUAGAUGGUUUAUUCAGUUGGGUGUGAAAUCCCUGGGCUCAACCUAGGAACUGCAUUCAAAACUUAUAAACUAGAGUACGAAAGAGGAGAGUAGAAUUCAUGGUGUAGCGGUGAAAUGCGUAGAGAUCAUGAGGAAUACCAGUGGCGAAGGCGACUCUCUGGUUCGAGACUGACAUUGAGGUGCGAAAGCGUGGGUAGCAAACAGGAUUAGAUACCCUGGUAGUCCACGCCGUAAACGAUGAGAACUAGCCGUUGGAUCUUUAGAUUCAGUGGCGCAGCUAACGCAUUAAGUUCUCCGCCUGGGGAGUACGGCCGCAAGGCUA